GCAGUAUCCUAACUGUGCUAAGGUAGCAUAAUCAUUAGUCUUUUAAUUGAAGACUGGUAUGAAUGGCUAAACGAGAAAUUAACUUUUUUUGUUAUUUAAUUUGAAUUUAAUUUUUUAGUGAAAAAGCUAAAAUUAAUCAGAAAGACGAGAAGACCCUAUAGAGUUUUAUAUUUUAUUAUAUUUUUUCUUAUUAGAUUUUUUGGGCAUAAAUAUAUACAAAUAUUUUGUUGGGGCGACAUUUAGAUAUUUAAAACUCUUUAUAUAUAAAAUUUUUAUAAAAAAUUGGUUUGAUCCUUUAAAAAAGAUCAAAAGAAAAAAUUACCUUAGGGAUAACAGCGUAAUCUUUUUUGAGAGUUCUAAUCGACAAAAAGGUUUGCGACCUCGAUGUUGGACUAAAAUUUAGGCAAGGUGCAGCAGUUUUGCUUUAAGGUCUGUUCGACCUAUA
rnacentral:rRNA from 1 species